rnacentral:rRNA from 1 species
AUUGAACGCUGGCGGCAGGCCUAACACAUGCAAGUCGAGCGGAUGAGGGGAGCUUGCUCCCUGAUUUAGCGGCGGACGGGUGAGUAAUGCGUAGGAAGCUGCCCGAUAGAGGGGGAUACCAGUUGGAAACGACUGUUAAUACCGCAUAAUGUCUACGGACCAAAGUGUGGGACCUUCGGGCCACAUGCUAUCGGAUGCGCCUACGUGGGAUUAGCUAGUUGGUGAGGUAAUGGCUCGCCAAGGCGACGAUCUCUAGCUGGUUUGAGAGGAUGAUCUGCCACACUGGAACUGAGACACGGUCCAGACUCCUACGGGAGGCAGCAGUGGGGAAUAUUGGACAAUGGGCGCAAGCCUGAUCCAGCCAUGCCGCGUGUGUGAAGAAGGCCUUCGGGUUGUAAAGCACUUUCAGCGAGGAGGAAGGGUGGUGUGUUAAUAGCACAUCAUUUUGACGUUACUCGCAGAAGAAGCACCGGCUAACUCUGUGCCAGCAGCCGCCGUAACAC